ACUCGGACUGGCCGUGGCGAAAUAAGCAAAUCCAUGUCCAAGAAAUGUCCGUUACUACAGAGACCGAGAACACUGAAGAGUGUCAGCAUAUUCUUGUACAUGCUGUUGCAUCCUCUUUGGACAAAUGCAAUGUCUGCAGUGGUGGCACAAUGUCAUCACUCAGGUGGUCUGGAAUGCAAUGUAAAGGUGUGUCUUUUCUUGCCCCAAUCUUCAUACUGUAUGA